GAGAAUAUGUCUCUGUCUAUUUCUCUCUCUCUCUCUCUCUCUCUCUCUCUCUCACACACACACACACACACACACACACACAGAGAGAGAGAGAGAGAGAGAGAGAGAGAACAAAGAGAAAUAUUGAAGAUG
rnacentral:miRNA from 1 species